rnacentral:rRNA from 1 species
GGUUAAGCGACUAAGCGUACACGGUGGAUGCCCUGGCAGUCAGAGGCGAUGAAGGACGUGCUAAUCUGCGAAAAGCGUCGGUAAGGUGAUAUGAACCGUUAUAACCGGCGAUGUCCGAAUGGGGAAACCCAGUGCAAUUCGUUGCACUAUCGUUAACUGAAUACAUAGGUUAACGAGGCGAACCGGGGGAACUGAAACAUCUAAGUACCCCGAGGAAAAGAAAUCAACCGAGAUUCCCCCAGUAGCGGCGAGCGAACGGGGAGCAGCCCAGAGUCUGAAUCAGCUUGUGUGUUAGUGGAACGGUCUGGAAAGUCCGACGGUACAGGGUGAUAGUCCCGUACACCAAAAUGCACAGGUUGUGAACUCGAAGAGUAGGGCGGGACACGUGGUAUCCUGUCUGAAUAUGGGGGGACCAUCCUCCAAGGCUAAAUACUCCUGACUGACCGAUAGUGAACCAGUACCGUGAGGGAAAGGCGAAAAGAACCCCGGCGAGGGGAGUGAAAAAGAACCUGAAACCGUGUACGUACAAGCAGUGGGAGCACCUUCGGGUGUGACUGCGUACCUUUUGUAUAAUGGGUCAGCGACUUAUAUUCUGUAGCAAGGUUAACCGUAUAGGGGAGCCGCAGGGAAACCGAGUCUUAACUGGGCGUUAAGUUGCAGGGUAUAGACCCGAAACCCGGUGAUCUAGCCAUGGGCAGGUUGAAGGUUGGGUAACACUAACUGGAGGACCGAACCGACUAAUGUUGAAAAAUUAGCGGAUGACUUGUGGCUGGGGGUGAAAGGCCAAUCAAACCGGGAGAUAGCUGGUUCUCCCCGAAAGCUAUUUAGGUAGCGCCUCGUGAACUCAUCUUCGGGGGUAGAGCACUGUUUCGGCUAGGGGGUCAUCCCGACUUACCAACCCGAUGCAAACUACGAAUACCGAAGAAUGUUAUCACGGGAGACACACGGCGGGUGCUAACGUCCGUCGUGAAGAGGGAAACAACCCAGACCGCCAGCUAAGGUCCCAAAGUCAUGGUUAAGUGGGAAACGAUGUGGGAAGGCACAGACAGCCAGGAUGUUGGCUUAGAAGCAGCCAUCAUUUAAAGAAAGCGUAAUAGCUCACUGGUCGAGUCGGCCUGCGCGGAAGAUGUAACGGGGCUAAACCAUGCACCGAAGCUGCGGCAGCGACACUAUGUGUUGUUGGGUAGGGGAGCGUUCUGUAAGCCUGCGAAGGUGUGCUGUGAGGCAUGCUGGAGGUAUCAGAAGUGCGAAUGCUGACAUAAGUAACGAUAAAGCGGGUGAAAAGCCCGCUCGCCGGAAGACCAAGGGUUCCUGUCCAACGUUAAUCGGGGCAGGGUGAGUCGACCCCUAAGGCGAGGCCGAAAGGCGUAGUCGAUGGGAAACAGGUUAAUAUUCCUGUACUUGGUGUUACUGCGAAGGGGGACGGAGAAGGCUAUGUUAGCCGGGCGACGGUUGUCCCGGUUUAAGCAUGUAGGCUGGUUGUCCAGGCAAAUCCGGAUAAUCAAGGCUGAGGUGUGAUGACGAGGCACUACGGUGCUGAAGUAACAAAUGCCCUGCUUCCAGGAAAAGCCUCUAAGCAUCAGGUAACAUCAAAUCGUACCCCAAACCGACACAGGUGGUCAGGUAGAGAAUACCAAGGCGCUUGAGAGAACUCGGGUGAAGGAACUAGGCAAAAUGGUGCCGUAACUUCGGGAGAAGGCACGCUGGUGUGUAGGUGAAGCCCCUGCGGGUGGAGCUGAGACCAGUCGAAGAUACCAGCUGGCUGCAACUGUUUAUUAAAAACACAGCACUGUGCAAACACGAAAGUGGACGUAUACGGUGUGACGCCUGCCCGGUGCCGGAAGGUUAAUUGAUGGGGUUAUCCGUAAGGAGAAGCUCUUGAUCGAAGCCCCGGUAAACGGCGGCCGUAACUAUAACGGUCCUAAGGUAGCGAAAUUCCUUGUCGGGUAAGUUCCGACCUGCACGAAUGGCGUAAUGAUGGCCAGGCUGUCUCCACCCGAGACUCAGUGAAAUUGAACUCGCUGUGAAGAUGCAGUGUACCCGCGGCAAGACGGAAAGACCCCGUGAACCUUUACUAUAGCUUGACACUGAACAUUGAGCCUUGAUGUGUAGGAUAGGUGGGAGGCUUUGAAGCGUGGACGCCAGUCUGCGUGGAGCCAACCUUGAAAUACCACCCUUUAAUGUUUGAUGUUCUAACGUUGGCCCCUUACCGGGGUUGCGGACAGUGUCUGGUGGGUAGUUUGACUGGGGCGGUCUCCUCCCAAAGCGUAACGGAGGAGCACGAAGGUUAGCUAAUCCUGGUCGGACAUCAGGAGGUUAGUGCAAUGGCAUAAGCUAGCUUGACUGCGAGCGUGACGGCGCGAGCAGGUGCGAAAGCAGGUCAUAGUGAUCCGGUGGUUCUGAAUGGAAGGGCCAUCGCUCAACGGAUAAAAGGUACUCCGGGGAUAACAGGCUGAUACCGCCCAAGAGUUCAUAUCGACGGCGGUGUUUGGCACCUCGAUGUCGGCUCAUCACAUCCUGGGGCUGAAGUAGGUCCCAAGGGUAUGGCUGUUCGCCAUUUAAAGUGGUACGCGAGCUGGGUUUAGAACGUCGUGAGACAGUUCGGUCCCUAUCUGCCGUGGGCGCUGGAGAAUUGAGGGGGGCUGCUCCUAGUACGAGAGGACCGGAGUGGACGCAUCACUGGUGUUCGGGUUGUCAUGCCAAUGGCACUGCCCGGUAGCUAAAUGCGGAAGAGAUAAGUGCUGAAAGCAUCUAAGCACGAAACUUGCCCCGAGAUGAGUUCUCCCUGAGACUUUAAGUCUCCUGAAGGAACGUUGAAGACGACGACGUUGAUAGGCCGGGUGUGUAAGCGCAGCGAUGCGUUGAGCUAACCGGUACUAAUGAACCGUGAGGCUUAACCUU